UAGUGCAAAUUUAAUAUAAUAAAAACAAAGCAAAAAAGAAAGAAAAAGAAUGAAAGAAAACAGGCAGAAUAGACCCAUCACUAGGCGGAAAUCGCACUGCUUGCCCGCUGUUCUCCCCCCCCCCCCCCCCCCCCCCCUCUUUCUUUUUUUUUUUUUUUUUUUUUUUU
rnacentral:ribozyme from 1 species